ACCUGGGUGGCUCAGUGUUUGAGCACCUGCCUUGAACUCAGGGUGUGAUCCCAGGGUCCUGGGAUCAAGUCCCACAUCAGGUU
rnacentral:tRNA from 1 species